rnacentral:snRNA from 1 species
GGACACGGUUGGCUAGAUGGUUGUUUUCAUCCUUUAUCAUGGCUCGUUAUGCCCCUGCCAAAGCUGCAUGCUAAGUGGAAGAGGUCUCCUUCACUGAUAGAGGAGGACCAUUCUUCAGUGGAUGUGAGCAGCUGUGCUCCUCUGCUAGGUCUUUUGUAGGAGAAUUGUGUGUCAACCUUCCAAGGUUCCAGAGACACCCAAGUGGGCCACUGUACUGGGCAAUGUGCCUUUCUA